rnacentral:lncRNA from 1 species
GACCAGCCAUCAAAGCAUUGUGACUUUUUUUCAGUUAAAUACAUGUUUGUAUAUAUAACAUAUUAGUUUAGCACAGAGCAUGAUAAAUUUCAUCUGCAGGAGCUGAAAAACAAGGGGAUGCAAUCUUGGGAAGCCUUCUUUAGAAUUCUGCCUACCACAAACUCUAUCUACACCUACAAGAUAUCCACACAUCGUUCUGCCCCUUCUUGCCCAGGACAACCGCGUGGGUGGUUCUCUGAACUUGCCAUGACUCCUGUAACUCUCAUGAAUAUCUGUGAAGCUCUGAUAACUCCCUCUGCUGCAGUUAAGCAGAUGUUUUGGGAGAGCUCACCAGUACAGCGCCCUGAAUCUCAUGUCUGCCCACACUUCCGGUAACUGAAGCUGCCUGCGUAAUGUAAUGAACUCCCAAGAACCCUCUUUGCAUGCUCCUGAUAAAUAAUGAAGAUAUACAAAAUCUAAUUUAAAAAAAGACAACGAAUAAAAAUUUUGAAAGUGCUA